UACCCAUGAUAAGGACACAUACUCAAUAACUCAUUAAACCUCUCAUAAGCCUAAUACAAGGUCUCACUAUCCUUUUGUAUAAAUAUGGAGAUUUGCCUUUUCAAAGCA